AUACACGUGGCUUUCUGGGGGCAGCUGUAAGGGAGCAACAGGAAACUGAAAGGAAAGGAGGCAGGGGUUUGCCGGAUAGGUGCUGCAGCGGAGGGGGCUCAGAGAACAGCAUUCGACUCUAGCCUCACACACUGGGCAGCAGGUAAAUCUACUCUAAUACCAUAAUGGGACAAUGAGGUUGAGGAGGAUGAGCAACUGCAGGUGCCAGAAGCUCUAGGGCCAGCAUCUGUGGCUCCUAUUGCAGAGAGAAGCACUGCCAGUGUUCCAGGAGAGGGUGGCAUCUCUUCAAAGGUCUCCCCAGACGUCAGGACUGUGUUAAGAAAGCGAUUCAAUUCGAGAAAGUUUCAGGUAUACUUAUUUCAGUCAAGACAAGUUCUGAAAAACAAGUCUCGAAGAUGAAAAGGAUUAAUUUUGAACUGUCCAUGAAAAUUCGGCAACUUGAAUCUAACCACUCUGAAAAGGAACAAGAAAUUGAAAGACUUAACAAACUCCUGAAAGAUAAUGGACAUCUUGAAUGGCUGAACUAUGCAAUAUUUGUCUAACCACAUGGAGAGGAAAUUUCUUAUUUGACAAAAUGGCCUUUGUACGUGUCAGUGAAACAUCCUGGGUAUCUCCAGGAUAAUUUCUAGAAAUGAUCUCAAGCCUUCACUUAAUUUGUUCUCGGAUCUGAUUAUGUCCAGAUGUAACAUAAUUCCUUCUAAGAGUUAUCUUUUUUCCUUGAUGUGAUAAGAGACUUCCCUUGAUAUCAAAUGUUUCAUAAGCUACAUUUUCUCAUUUUCCGAACUCUAACCUUGCUUGAAUUUGAAUACUAUAACUCAAUGAGUUUGUGUAAAAAUUAAAUAAAAAAUUUUUAGUUUAUUUUUAA